rnacentral:rRNA from 1 species
GGUUAAGCGACUAAGCGUACACGGUGGAUGCCCUGGCAGUCAGAGGCGAUGAAGGACGUGCUAAUCUGCGAAAAGCGUCGGUAAGGUGAUAUGAACCGUUAUAACCGGCGAUGUCCGAAUGGGGAAACCCAGUGUGAUUCGUCACACUAUCGUUAACUGAAUACAUAGGUUAACGAGGCGAACCGGGGGAACUGAAACAUCUAAGUACCCCGAGGAAAAGAAAUCAACCGAGAUUCCCCCAGUAGCGGCGAGCGAACGGGGAGCAGCCCAGAGUCUGAAUCAGCUUGUGUGUUAGUGGAACGGUCUGGAAAGUCCGACGGUACAGGGUGAUAGUCCCGUACACCAAAAUGCACAGGCUGUGAACUCGAAGAGUAGGGCGGGACACGUGGUAUCCUGUCUGAAUAUGGGGGGACCAUCCUCCAAGGCUAAAUACUCCUGACUGACCGAUAGUGAACCAGUACCGUGAGGGAAAGGCGAAAAGAACCCCGGCGAGGGGAGUGAAAAAGAACCUGAAACCGUGUACGUACAAGCAGUGGGAGCACCUUCGGGUGUGACUGCGUACCUUUUGUAUAAUGGGUCAGCGACUUAUAUUCUGUAGCAAGGUUAACCGUAUAGGGGAGCCGCAGGGAAACCGAGUCUUAACUGGGCGUUAAGUUGCAGGGUAUAGACCCGAAACCCGGUGAUCUAGCCAUGGGCAGGUUGAAGGUUGGGUAACACUAACUGGAGGACCGAACCGACUAAUGUUGAAAAAUUAGCGGAUGACUUGUGGCUGGGGGUGAAAGGCCAAUCAAACCGGGAGAUAGCUGGUUCUCCCCGAAAGCUAUUUAGGUAGCGCCUCGUGAACUCAUCUUCGGGGGUAGAGCACUGUUUCGGCUAGGGGGUCAUCCCGACUUACCAACCCGAUGCAAACUACGAAUACCGAAGAAUGUUAUCACGGGAGACACACGGCGGGUGCUAACGUCCGUCGUGAAGAGGGAAACAACCCAGACCGCCAGCUAAGGUCCCAAAGUCAUGGUUAAGUGGGAAACGAUGUGGGAAGGCACAGACAGCCAGGAUGUUGGCUUAGAAGCAGCCAUCAUUUAAAGAAAGCGUAAUAGCUCACUGGUCGAGUCGGCCUGCGCGGAAGAUGUAACGGGGCUAAACCAUGCACCGAAGCUGCGGCAGCGACACUAUGUGUUGUUGGGUAGGGGAGCGUUCUGUAAGCCUGCGAAGGUGUGCUGUGAGGCAUGCUGGAGGUAUCAGAAGUGCGAAUGCUGACAUAAGUAACGAUAAAGCGGGUGAAAAGCCCGCUCGCCGGAAGACCAAGGGUUCCUGUCCAACGUUAAUCGGGGCAGGGUGAGUCGACCCCUAAGGCGAGGCCGAAAGGCGUAGUCGAUGGGAAACAGGUUAAUAUUCCUGUACUUGGUGUUACUGCGAAGGGGGGACGGAGAAGGCUAUGUUAGCCGGGCGACGGUUGUCCCGGUUUAAGCAUGUAGGCUGGUUGUCCAGGCAAAUCCGGAUAAUCAAGGCUGAGGUGUGAUGACGAGGCACUACGGUGCUGAAGUAACAAAUGCCCUGCUUCCAGGAAAAGCCUCUAAGCAUCAGGUAACAUCAAAUCGUACCCCAAACCGACACAGGUGGUCAGGUAGAGAAUACCAAGGCGCUUGAGAGAACUCGGGUGAAGGAACUAGGCAAAAUGGUGCCGUAACUUCGGGAGAAGGCACGCUGGUGUGUAGGUGAAGCCCCUGCGGGUGGAGCUGAAAUCAGUCGAAGAUACCAGCUGGCUGCAACUGUUUAUUAAAAACACAGCACUGUGCAAACACGAAAGUGGACGUAUACGGUGUGACGCCUGCCCGGUGCCGGAAGGUUAAUUGAUGGGGUUAUCCGUAAGGAGAAGCUCUUGAUCGAAGCCCCGGUAAACGGCGGCCGUAACUAUAACGGUCCUAAGGUAGCGAAAUUCCUUGUCGGGUAAGUUCCGACCUGCACGAAUGGCGUAAUGAUGGCCAGGCUGUCUCCACCCGAGACUCAGUGAAAUUGAACUCGCUGUGAAGAUGCAGUGUACCCGCGGCAAGACGGAAAGACCCCGUGAACCUUUACUAUAGCUUGACACUGAACAUUGAGCCUUGAUGUGUAGGAUAGGUGGGAGGCUUUGAAGCGUGGACGCCAGUCUGCGUGGAGCCAACCUUGAAAUACCACCCUUUAAUGUUUGAUGUUCUAACGUUGGCCCCUGACCGGGGUUGCGGACAGUGUCUGGUGGGUAGUUUGACUGGGGCGGUCUCCUCCCAAAGCGUAACGGAGGAGCACGAAGGUUAGCUAAUCCUGGUCGGACAUCAGGAGGUUAGUGCAAUGGCAUAAGCUAGCUUGACUGCGAGCGUGACGGCGCGAGCAGGUGCGAAAGCAGGUCAUAGUGAUCCGGUGGUUCUGAAUGGAAGGGCCAUCGCUCAACGGAUAAAAGGUACUCCGGGGAUAACAGGCUGAUACCGCCCAAGAGUUCAUAUCGACGGCGGUGUUUGGCACCUCGAUGUCGGCUCAUCACAUCCUGGGGCUGAAGUAGGUCCCAAGGGUAUGGCUGUUCGCCAUUUAAAGUGGUACGCGAGCUGGGUUUAGAACGUCGUGAGACAGUUCGGUCCCUAUCUGCCGUGGGCGCUGGAGAAUUGAGGGGGGCUGCUCCUAGUACGAGAGGACCGGAGUGGACGCAUCACUGGUGUUCGGGUUGUCAUGCCAAUGGCACUGCCCGGUAGCUAAAUGCGGAAGAGAUAAGUGCUGAAAGCAUCUAAGCACGAAACUUGCCCCGAGAUGAGUUCUCCCUGAGACUUUAAGUCUCCUGAAGGAACGUUGAAGACGACGACGUUGAUAGGCCGGGUGUGUAAGCGCAGCGAUGCGUUGAGCUAACCGGUACUAAUGAACCGUGAGGCUUAACCUU